rnacentral:lncRNA from 1 species
UUUUUUUAUUAUUGUUUUAGUAAACUUCAAAUAUCAUCUCUGUAAUUUUAUACUUUCUCAUUUUAGUACCUUAUGACUUAAAAUAUAUCAAUUUAGUACACUAUGGUUUUUAUUUUUUUCUUUUUGUCAGCUCUUUAGUUAAUAUUUUAUUAAAUUAUAUACAAAAAACAUCAGAUACUCCAUCUAGGUUUAUCGAAUAUUCACUUUAAUAUUUUUUAGUUUUAACUUUUUUACUGAUUUAAUGAAAAAAAUUAGUAAAGAGUAUAAUAAAAAGAGAAAAAUGAAACCACGGAAUACUAAAUUGAUACAUUUUAAAUCAUAGGGUACUAAAAUAAAAAAUAUAUAUAUAAAACUAUAGGAGUGGUAUUUGAAAUUUUUCCAUAUUUUUAU